UAAAGAAGAAAAAACAUGGCGGACAGCCACUAGCUCAAUCCACAUAAAACAAUACACAAACAUUUCAAAGCAAGGUAAACAGACUAAUAUAUUGUUUACACGCUAUACUCUUUUUAACAAACAAAUGUUUUAGCUGGUAAUUUAGCUAGCAUUUAUUGAUGAUGAUGUAUUUAUAAUCAGGCCAACGAUAGAUGGCGAACAUUAAGUCUUCCCGUUAGCGUGCUGUGUUGACGGAGCUAGCUAUCUGUUCGAGCAUGCCCAUGUUAUUAGCUUGGAGAGCUGCUGUGUCAACAGUGAGCCCUGGGUGUGUUUGGGUGGGUGACCGAGGUCUGCUGACAGCUGGGGCCACCUCUUUGUUGUACCCUGUCGUCUGCCUCCAACGCCAACCCCCUGCCUGGCCUACAGAAGUGGAGAGCGUUAAGCGCAAUCCGUGGGGAAGUCAACCUGAGCAUCCACAAAUGAAAGAGUGGACUAUUGUGUCUUGAACUUAGUAUUACUGGAGCAUGAAGAAACCAGUGCCACAAAAAGCUAUUGAGUGGAGAGAUGGCAGGCGGAUCAAGCAUGCCCGAAGUGGCCGUCCCUCCCGGGUCCCAUCGCAGUACCAAGGAGGGCACUUCAGUUGGGACAAAUACCUAAAGGAAACAGGUGCUAGUGCUGCACCUGCCCACUGCUUCAGACAGGGUGCGACACCUCCAGUGAAUGAGUUCAAGGCGGGCAUGAAGCUGGAGGCGCAGGACCCUCGGAAUACAACGUCAACCUGCAUUGCAACAGUGGUGGGCCUGACGGGAUCGCGGCUGCGUCUGCGCCUUGACGGCUCCGACAACAAGAACGACUUCUGGCGCCUGGUGGACUCGUCUGAAAUCCAGCCUAUCGGCAACUGCGAGAAGAACACGGGCAUGCUGCAACCGCCAUUGGGCUUCCGUCUGAACGCAUCCUCCUGGCCCAUGUUCCUUCUAAAAACACUCAACGGAGCCGAAAUGGCCCCAGCACGCAUCUUUCACAAGCAGGAGCCCCCGGUCCCAGAGCAGAACUCCUUCCAGGUGGGCAUGAAGCUGGAGGCAGUGGACCGCAAGAACCCCCACUUCAUCUGCCCGGCCACGGUGGGGGCGCUGCGUGGCGUGGAGGUGCUCGUCACCUUCGACGGCUGGCGGGGUGCUUUCGACUACUACUGCCGCUACGACUCCCGGGACAUCUUCCCCGUGGGCUGGUGCUCUCUCACCGGGGACAACCUGCAGCCGCCUGGUACCAAAGUGCUACCCAAGACCCUCAGUUGCCUUUCAGACGGUAGCGAGGGAACAGCCAUGCACCCCAUGCCAGGACAGCCGCCUGGCCAACGGGGACGCAAGCCAGGCUGCAGGAAAGCCAAGCUGACAGGGCCCUGGGGGCAGAAGGGGGCCAGAGUAGGACCACAGGCCCCCCCGUCUGGAAAGGGACUGGAGCCUAUCAAGGUCCCCAAGAAGAGAGGCCCCAAACCGGGGAGUAAGUUGGGCUGGGCGAAGAGAGAAGGCUGGCUGGAGGGUGCCAUGGCAGGCCCAGGGCAACCCGUGUCCCGGCCCAGAGGGAGGCUGCCAGCCAACUGGGCCCAGAGGAUGGCACUGCAGGAGGGACAAGUGGAGUCUAUCAAGAUCCCCAAAAAGAGAGGGCCCAAGCCCGGCAGCAAGAGAAAACAGCGGGUGGUGCCCAACCCCAUGCCCGUUUCCCCCAACAGCCGUAUGCCAGAGCCAGACACCAGCACGGUGCCUCUGGACAACGCCACCAUCCCCAGCGCCGCCUUGCAUGCUGCCACAGUGUGUGUCUACCUGAACAAGUAUGGGAAGGUGGGACCCCACUUGGACGGGCGGCGGGUGCAGCAGCUUCCCGACCACGUUGGUCCAGGCCGGGCUUCCUCGGUGCUACAGCAGUGUGUCCAGGCUUGUGUGGACUGUGCCCACAACCAGAGCUCUGUCUUCUCCUGCCUCAAGCCAGGUCACGGAGGAGAGGUCAUAUCAGCCCACUUCGACCACCAGCACCAUACCCUCACCCUGCCCACGGUCAACAGCGUCACGCACGUCCUGCACUUCCUGGAGAAACUCUGUCACAACCUCUACUGUGACCCUCUGUUUGGGAGCCAGCCCAUCCCAAGAGGGGGCUUGCAUUACGACAGCCAUGCCUACCCAGAAAGGAGAAGUUUUAGGGAGGGCCUCGCGACUGGUCCAGGAAGAGGCUCCAAGCGGUUCCUUCAAGAAUCCUACUACAGCCCCCUCCCCCACAAGUUGGCCAAAAACCUCUGCCUCUCCUCGGAAGGUGAGCCUUUCCUCAUGGAGAAUGGUGUAGGGGGGUCGGAGCACUUAAAGAAGAGCCCCCUGUCCCCGGGCUCGACAGGGCAGCCUCUGAGCCUGCGCUUCCCCACCAAGUUGCUACAUCUCAACUCUUCAGGCUCUGAGCGUUUCAGAGAGUGCCCCCGGCCCAGUGGCCAGGACCCCAACCUGUGGACGGUAGAGGACGUCAUGCAGUUCAUCAGACACAUAGACCCUCUACUGGCCCCCCACGCAGAUCUCUUCAGAAAACACGUGGACUCCAAUCAAGUUGUAGAAACAUCCCAAGGAUGACCAAUGGAAACAGGAUGCACCUGAGCUCAAUUUUGAGUCUCAUAGCGAAGGGUCUGAAUGCUUAUGUAAAUAUAAGGAGAUUGAUGGCAAAGCCCUCCUGUUACUACGCAGCGACAUGAUGAUGAAAUACAUGGGCUUAAAGCUCGGGCCUGCCCUCAAACUCACAUUCCACAUCGACAGGUUCAAACAUGGACGCCCUUAUUGAGCUCAUCAGCGUCCCCGCAACCCUGCUACUUCUACUCCCCUCCCCUCUACAGGAUAUAAUGCGCUGCAUACUACUGGACUGACCUAGGCUACGAUACUUAGUGUCAUAUAUCACCCUCCCUUUCCCUGCCGCAUCUAAGAAGCCCUGUUGCGAAUUUCUCUUAUUUAGAUUUUAUUUCUGUUGUGUGGCACAAUCCAGCCCUACGGCAGCAUGGGAUAUUGGAUAUGCAGACUGACUGACUCGCCCACAUAUCCUCCUCAUCCAUCAUGUUACUCGCCUGUUUUUCUAUUCCAUAUUCUCUUACAACAACAAUGAUGCCCUCCCUGUGUGUAGCCAUUUUUUACUGUAAUGGCCAUUUUAGGCCCGAGUUUUUAUUACAUCGUUUCUUUUUGUUUGAUCAAGUACAUUUCUUUUUUGUACCCUCCCUGAAAAUAAGGACUUGCAUUAAGCCAUUUUCACCGUUUUGUAUUAAAUAUGUAUACUGAACAAAAAUAUAAAUGCAACAUGUAAAGGGUUGGUCCCAUGUUUCAUGGGCUGAAAUAAAAGAUCCCAGAAAUGUUC